GACCGGCUGGUCUAACGGAAUGACGCUCCAUUUUCUUAUGGGCCCGGAGCAGUGUGGGUUCGAAUCCCGCGCUGGUCG
rnacentral:tRNA from 1 species